GAUGAACGCUGGCGGCGUGCUUAACACAUGCAAGUCGAACGGAAAGGCGCUGAUUUUGUUGCGUGCUCGAGUGGCGAACGGGUGAGUAACACGUGAGUAACCUGCCCUUGACUUUGGGAUAACUUCAGGAAACUGGGGCUAAUACCGGAUAGGAGCUCCUGCUGCAUGGUGGUGGUUGGAAAGUUUCGGCGGUUGGGGAUGGUCUCGCGGCUUAUCAGCUUGUUGGUGGGGUAGUGGCUUACCAAGGCUUUGACGGGUAGCCGGCCUGAGCGGGGUGCCGGACACAUUGGGACUGAGAUACGGCCCAGACUCCUACGGUAGGCAGCAGUGGGGAGUAUUACACAAUGGGCGGAAGCCUGAUGUAGCAACGCCGCGUGCGGGAUAACGGCCUUCGGGUUGUAAACCACUUUCGCCUGAGACGAAGCGUGAGUGACGGUAAUGGAUAAAGAAGCACCGGCUAACUACGUG
rnacentral:rRNA from 1 species